ensembl:lncRNA
CAGAGUGAUGUUAGCCUGGAGCCCACAUGUCCUGGGGUUCCUAGGGGCUGUCUGCGCCUCCCGCACAUGGUUCAGACCUGGCCACUGGAUGUCACUGUAGGAAUGCCCCAGGGCCCCCAGCCCCACCAGCCGGAUCUCAGCUGAUGGAGACACGGCAACACCAGAGGGUACAGAGAACUUGUCUGUGGACCACCCCCGACAAUCUGGUCAAGGGCAGGCCUGAGAUAGGAGGCCCACCAGGAAGAUGGAGUUCGAGGUGGGAGGAGACGCAGACAGCAGACUGGCCGUGACAGUCAUCAGCUCACCAGCAGCUUGGAUGAAUUUCCCAAAAUCCCUCAGGCUUUUCUGAAUCUGGCAGAGUGCACCGAUGGAGGGUGGAGAUACAGGACAAAGUCCCUGGGGGUCUUGGAGAAGAAGCCACGAACACCCACUCCCAGAGAAUCCCUCUGGUCCUCGUAGCUCUUCCCCUCAAUAGCACACCGGCUACCAUACCACCCUGACCUUGAUCUGGGCUGUCCAGAUGGGGCCUGUCUGCUCCCAUUGCCUGGGAAGCAAGGAUUUGGCUCCAGCACAGAGUCGUCAUUCCUGGGAGGCAUGGCCAUUCCCCUCCAAGAGGCAGGAGAGGCAGGACCGAAGCCCAGAGCACAGAGAUCAAAACGGAGACUCAAAUCCUUGGCUACCUCCUCAAGGCUCUCCACUAACCACCCUGUGUGGCACCUGCCACCACCCCUUCCAGCCCCAGAGAAAGGCCAGGGCCCCUGAGCCAACAGGCUCACUUUGCCCAGAUGUUUGCACGCGAACCCUGUCUCCUGCCUCCUUGCUACGCCAGCCUCCUCUGACCCCUCCUCCACAGCAGCACCCACAGCUACAGCACUGAGCUCACCGCAGCUUGGGCUGUCCCCUUCUGACCUGGUGGGGUGAGGUGGGGCCCAAGGGCCUGGGUCUUCUCCCUCCCCAGCCACAGGAUCCCUCGCAGAACUGAGUGCAGGGCUGGGUGUGGCAGACCUGAUCUUGGAAACUUCUGCUGGCUGACUGUCCAACUUCCCCCGGAGACAAGGUACCCACCUCUUAAAGCAUAUGAAUUCUUCCCUGUGUGACAGAUAACUUCUGGCCAUUGAGGUGUCACGCGAUCCCCCUUAAAUCAAAACU